rnacentral:rRNA from 1 species
ACGAACGCUGGCGGCGUGCUUAACACCUGCAAGUCGAACGGAAAGGCCCUGCUUUUGUGGGGUGCUCGAGUGGCGAACGGGUGAGUAACACGUGAGUAACCUGCCCUUGACUUUGGGAUAACUUCAGGAAACUGGGGCUAAUACCGGAUAGGAGCUCCUGCUGCAUGGUGGGGGUUGGAAAGUUUCGGCGGUUGGGGAUGGACUCGCGGCUUAUCAGCUUGUUGGGGGGGUAGUGGCUUACCAAGGCUUUGACGGGUAGCCGGCCCGAGAGGGUGACCGGCCACAUUGGGACUGAGAUACGGCCCAGACUCCUACGGGAGGCAGCAGUGGGGAAUAUUGCACAAUGGGCGGAAGCCUGAUGCAGCAACGCCGCGUGCGGGAUGACGGCCUUCGGGUUGUAAACCGCUUUCGCCUGUGACGAAGCGUGAGUGACGGUAAUGGGUAAAGAAGCACCGGCUAACUACGUG